UCCUCAAAUGAGACUGAACACAGCCCCUUCGCUUUCUUUAAGCCUUCAGAGGACAAUACCUAUGGCAAACACUCCCAGAAAGUAAAAGUGCAAUAUAGCAUAGUGAAGGCUGAUAAACAAGGCUCUUUUGUAGGGACUAAUGACUCAUGUCUCCUGGAUUUAUAAGAAAAAGAGCAUAAAAGCAAUUACUGGGGUGUGAAUUAUUUUGUUUUUUUUUUUAAUGGCCUGACAGUUUUGACAGCUCCGAGCUUGUUAUCUAUCACAAACUCUCUUGAUCUUCCAACUUUAACAUGACUUUUAAUUACACUUUCUUAUUAGUAGAAGGACAAACAACGUAUAGUCUGGUUUUCGUUCAUGUCCAACGUAUUUAAACAAUAAGGGAACCUUUUCCUCCUAGUAGGGCUAAAAGUGUGAUUUGGUUGUCUAAUAUGGUAGCGGUAUAAAAAAAAAAAUACAAAUAGUUCAAGGCUUGUUCUUCACAUUAACAUUUUGGUAUUGAAAGAGCAACAGGGACAGAAGCAGUCCUUCCGUCUUUUCUGUUACUUAAAAACGUGUAUCUGCUUUUGCUCAGGUCAUUUUCCCUCAGUCCUAGAAGAAAAUAAUCUGCAAGACUGUCCCAUGCCCCUUCUUUGCAGGUGUGUGCUGUGACCCAGCCAUGUGGGCUUUCAGCAUCAAGUCCUUCUUUGUGCCGGAGCUCCCUGACGGACUUCAGACAAGGCUAUGUGAAAGGCAUCUUGUGGAGGAGAGCAGUCCUGCUUUCCUUCCCAUCCCUGCUGAUUCUUGGUACCAUUGUGCUGGUCCUCACAUUCCUCUUGCAGAACAGGUAGGAGACCAAGUCCAUUAAGGGUUGCAAAGAACUUGGAAACCGUGGUGAUGGACAGCGUACAUACUGCAAGUAGUGAUAUAUGAUCUGGAAAUAAAGUAUAAAUAAACGUUAGGAAGAUUACA
rnacentral:lncRNA from 1 species